rnacentral:rRNA from 1 species
AUAUUUGGUUUACUAAGUAUUCUUAGUGGCGGACGGGUGAGUAACACGUGAGCAACCUGCCUUUGAGAGAGGGAUAGCUUCUGGAAACGGAUGGUAAUACCUCAUAACGUAGUUUUACCGCAUGAUGAGACUACCAAAGAUUUAUCACUCAAAGAUGGGCUCGCGUCUGAUUAGCUAGAUGGUGAGGUAACGGCCCACCAUGGCGACGAUCAGUAGCCGGACUGAGAGGUUGAACGGCCACAUUGGGACUGAGACACGGCCCAGACUCCUACGGGAGGCAGCAGUGGGGAAUAUUGCACAAUGGGGGAAACCCUGAUGCAGCGAUGCCGCGUGGAGGAAGAAGGUUUUCGGAUUGUAAACUCCUGUCUUAAAGGACGAUAAUGACGGUACUUUAGGAGAAG